rnacentral:rRNA from 1 species
UACGAAGGGGGCUAGCGUUGUUCGGAUUUACUGGGCGUAAAGCGCACGUAGGCGGAUUGUUAAGUCGGGGGUGAAAUCCUGAGGCUCAACCUCAGAACUGCCUUCGAUACUGGCGAUCUUGAGUUCGGAAGAGGUUGGUGGAACAGCUAGUGUAGAGGUGAAAUUCGUAGAUAUUAGCUAGAACACCAGUGGCGAAGGCGGCCAACUGGUCCGACACUGACGCUGAGGUGCGAAAAGCGUGGGGGAGCAAACAGG